AACGAGCGCUGGCGGCAUGCCUAACACAUGCAAGUCGAACGCCCCGCAAGGGGAGUGGCGAACGGGUGAGUAACGCGUGGGAACCUACCCAGCAGUUGGGGAUAACCGCGGGAAACUACGGCUAAUACCGAAUACGUCCUAAGGGAGAAAGAUUUAUCGCUGUUGGAGGGGCCCGCGUCGGAUUAGCUAGUUGGUGAGGUAACGGCUCACCAAGGCGACGAUCCGUAGCUGGUCUGAGAGGAUGAUCAGCCACACUGGGACUUAGACACGGCCCAGACUCCUACGGGAGGCAGCAGUGGGGAAUAUUGGACAAUGGGGGCAACCCUGAUCCAGCAAUGCCGCGUGAGUGAUGAAGGCCUUAGGGUUGUAAAGCUCUUUUACCGGGGACGAUGAUGACGGUACCCGGAGAAUAAGCCCCGGCUAACUUCGUGCCAGCCGCCGCAGUAAUAC
rnacentral:rRNA from 1 species